UGAGGCUCGAGUUGAAGAAGCAGAUGUGGCUAAUUAUGUGCGCAAGUAAUGUAUUUAUUAAUCAAUAGGGGUAAUUUUAAAAAUCUAUAAUUAGUGUUAUUUCAUUUAACGGAGAGCAGGAGCUCUGCCUCUGUCAGCGUGAGGUGUCUGGAUUGAGCGUUUCACAGGAGCAGACCUGCAGAACUUGAGGAGCCAGGCCGGACCACCCCCCCACACCUUGAGAAGCAACAUUACAGAGACGCAUCGUGGUGUUAGAAUCUUCCACCUAAAUGCUUACAAAGAUCAACUUUACUCUGUUUCCCAUGAGGUAGACUCUGCCAAGAGACAGAAAGCAGCCGGAAGGAGGGCAGAGGCGCUCCAGUGACAGGAGCAGAGCUGUGGGACGGGUCGCACUUCAUCCCCUGCAGAGCUUGAAUGAACUGUGACUGUUUGUGUCAUGCCUCUCUAAAGAAUCUGCCAGACCCCAGUCGAAGACAGCGUCUGCCACAACAAAGACAUUGUCCGCAGCUAUGACAUGCUCGAAGGAAUAAGAGGGAUUUGUUCUAAUACUUAAAGCCAAGCGUGCUCUUAUUGUUUUUACAAUGAGGGCCACUGUGCCUGUCCUCUUUCUGCCUUUGCCUUUCAUUUAAUCUUUUUUUGCUUCCCAGUCGAGAGGCGUCAUGUCUGAAAGGCCGUCUAUAAAAUGAGCAAAGACAUGAGCCAUUUUACUGCAAGGAAACACGUCCCGCCAAACAGCCUGCACGUCCAGCGUCUCACUGGGAGUCACAAUUACUUUCCUUUGAGAUAAGGGAGAGAAGGCAGAAAUGAAAGAGUUUGGCUUUUUUUUUUCAGGAAGGGAUUUAGACUCUGUGGGGCCGGCGGUGGUCUGUACAGAAGCUGACGCCACACGUGAGAGUGUUUAGAGAGGCUGGAGGAGCGCAGAUAAAGGCAGACGGCACCGCCCAGUACGAGCUGCAGGGCACAGCACGGUGACCCGACGAGACCAGCACACAUCCAUCAGCUCCU
rnacentral:lncRNA from 1 species